UAGCCCAGCCCACCAAGUCUGUCCGCCGCUCCCAAGUCCCACCUCUCCCCGCCGCAAUUCACCUCCGCCGGCGGGGUCCGUCCGCUCCGACCAUGGAUCAGCCGCCACCGGCGCGUCUCCCCCCCGCAGGCUGCGACUGCGACCACCUCGACGGCCGCGGCGGCCCCUUCCUCGUGGUCGUCAUCAACACACGCGUCCGGAAACGUCGGAGACCAAGGUCACAUGUGCCUAUGAGACUUCACUACUUCAGUUCCUGCACUCCAGCACUGGAUCUGGCCUCUACCGUAGGUGAGGGAUCAAGAGGGAGUGCUUUGAGCGCCUCACAAACUUAAGUUGCUCUUGUGAAAACCUUUCUUGGUCAGAGUAGCAGUGCACUGGGACACCUCUACAGACGAGGGACAGAGCAAUCUACAGUUGCAUCUCCACCACCACUAUGUCUGUGAUUAUCAAUGGUGAACCUGGUCCUGCUUUUCGCACUAAACAUGGAGUCAGGCAAGGCUGCCCUUUGUCCCCUUAUCUUUUUAUUUUGGCUGUGAACGAACUUUCCAUUUGCCUGCAACAGAACUCCAGCAUUUACAGGAUUCAAGGUAUUACUCUGGGGCCCAACUGCCUCGCAUUCAUGCUCUCCUUUUUGCUGAUGAUCUUAUUAUCUGUGGUCAAGCUUCUAAAGAUGAAGCUGCUAAUAUUAGUUUGAUUCUUCAAAGCUUCUGUGCUGCUUUGGGUCAAAUCCCUAAUAUGGACAAAUAUUCUAUCAUUUUCAGUUAAAACGUUGAUAAUCAAAGCAAAAUUGAGGUUAAAAAUAUCUUCCCUGUUCAAGCAACCUAGUAGCAUUUAUCUUGGGCACCCUUUGAUUUUUAAUCAUGCUGAUUGUACCAAAGCUUACAGUUUCAUUAUCAAUAAAUUUAAAGCUAAAUUGUCUAAACUGAAAGCUAACAAACCCAAUCAUGCUGGUAGAUUGAGUUAUAUCAAUUCUGUUUUAGCCUCCAUUCCUAUUUAUUAUAUGACCACCAUCCUCUUUUCCAAAAAAUUCAUUUCUAGAAUAACUUCUAUUAUAAGGAAUUUUUGGUGGUCAGGAGUUCAAGAAGAGAACAACACUACAGGUUUGCAAUUCAGAUCAUGGAAAGAUAUUUGUAGGCCCAAGAAUGAAGGUGGUUAGGCAUUUGUGUGAUCUUACUACAGUCAACAAAAGCCUACUCCUAAACACUGCUUGGAAGAUUGCUACAGGUAAGAACCAAUUUCUCUCUGACAUUCUUAAAUCCAAAUAUGACCCUAAUACUAGUUUCUGGUUAGCCGGCAAUAACACUGCUAAAUCGGCCUUCUGGUCCUCUAUAACAAGCAUAAAGAAUAUCCUUGUAAAAAAUUGCAUAAUUUAGGUCCAUAAAGGUGACUAUAGCAUUUGGUCUACUCCUUGGUGUGAUAUAUGGCAUGAAAUCUACAAUCACCUUAAUUUGCCUGUUACUGUUAACAAACUUCCCAAUUUCAUCUCUGAUCUUUGGAUCCCAACACGCUAACUUAGAAUGGUGAUCUUAUUACAAAAAUCUGACAGUCAAGCGGUUCUCUCCUUUAAGAAAGUUAUUCCUGUACCUCUGAUGAACCUGACAAGAUCAUUUCGAAGGCUUCUAAAAAUGGUGAUUGCUCUGCAAAGGAUGCCUUUAAAUACCUAAACAAACAGAUGCAGGUACAGCUUCCCACUCAAGGGCCCAGAAAUAUUUCUCCGGAGGCCAUGUACAUCCCAUCUUGUUUGGAAGUGCAGGAUGAUCUCCCCUGUGAUCAAAACCUUCCUUUGGAGGCUGAUUAGAAGAGCUAUAGCCACAGGUCUCAGAGCUGGGAAUCUUUCAGAUAAAAUUUAUAAAGAUUGUGCCUACUGUGGAGCUGCUGAAAAUUACACUCAUCUAUUCUUUUAUUGUGAUUAUUCCAGAGCCGUCUGGUUCUCCUCCAAGAUACCUCUUUUAACCUCCUUUUGGCCACAGGAACAAGAUGGAGUUCAAUUAGCUUAAGCAGGGAUUAUCACUCCCCAAACAUCCGAAGAUACUUUAACUCUUCUUGUAACCUACUUGUGGUUCAUUUGGAAAGCUCGCAAUGAGCUUCGAUUUUGCAAAAACAAAUGGUCUAUUUUGCAGGUUCACUAUGCUGUCCAGGCCCAUGUCAACAUGCAAAAGAAGAUACUACUGAAGGAACUCAACCAGCAAGAGACGACGGAAAAAGCAAAUUUCCAAAUUCAAGCGGGUACACAAGGUGCAGAGGACAACCCAACUCAGACCCGGUUGGGUCCAUCAACAGAUGAUCCUAUCUGCAGGUUACCAAUUUUGAUUGUAGGUUCAAGAUGCUAUUCGGAUGCUUCAAUUGCACCCGACACAACACCCAAUGCUACAAGACCAGUGGGAUUAGGAAUUUUCUUCCUUCAUCCCUCCCAACAACUCAAGUGCUACAUCAAAGCAAGAACAGAGCAGGUCAAUUCAGUUCUCAUGGCUGAAACUGCGGCUAUGGCCCUUGCUGCAAAGAUAAUCUCACUGAUUGGCUUCAGAGAGAUAUCUUUUCUCACUGAUAAUAAGCUCCUCGCAACCUUCUUCAAUGGAGCAAGUUUUGAUACGCCACCUCAAUGGGACAUCAAGCCUUUUUCUCAGAACUUCCUUAAUGUUGUAGAGGAUGCAAUUGGAAGGUCCUCAAGAUUCAUAGAGAACUAAAUGCCACAGCCCAUGUUUUAGCUACCCAGGCUUUCCAGAUCUCAUCAAGAUCAAGUACUGUAAACAAUGUGCAAUUUUCUUGUACCAAUGAGAGACAUGUACACACAGUUGCCCUCUCAGAGAGGCACUGAUGUCUGUACCAUGGGAGCUACUCUCCCUUAUAGCAGCAUCUUGCUGCUGAUAAUAAAUUUGUUUCCUUGUCAAAAAAAAAAGGCUUGAGUGCUUUGACGAACUGAAGUUGCUCAUGUGAUGGUUUCUUAGCCAAGGAGAAAAUUAGACAAUAAU